GGCUCAGUAACACGUGGCUAACCUACCCUUGAGACGGAGACAACCCCGGGAAACUGGGGCUAAUCCCCGAUAGAUGAGAACUCCUGGAACGGGUUCUCGUCCAAAAGGCGUCUAAGCCAUGCUUUUAGGCGUUGCUCAAGGAUGGGGCCGCGGCCGAUCAGGCUGUUGGUGAGGUAACGGCUCACCAAACCUUUAACCGGUACGGGCCGUGGGAGCGGGAGCCCGGAGAUGGGAACUGAGACAAGGUCCCAGGCCCUACGGGGCGCAGCCGUUGCGAAAACUUGUCAAUGCACGAAAGUGUGAACAGGCUACCCCGAGUGCUGUCCGCUGAGGAUGGCUUUUCUCUGCUGUUAAAAGGCGGGGGAAUAAGGAGAGGGCAAGUCUGGUGUCAGCCGCCGCGGUAAUACCAGCUCUCCGAGUGGUGGGGAUGAUUAUUGGGCCUAAAGCGUCCGUAGCCUGCCUUUCAAGUCUCUCGUUAAAUCCGGCGAUUCAAUCGUUGGACUGCGGGAGAUACUGUUAGGCUAGGGGGCGGGAGAAGCCGACGGUAUUUCCGGGGUAGGGGUAAAAUCCUAUAAUCCCGGGAGGACCACCAGUGGCGUAGACGGUCGGCUAGCACGCGCUCGACGGUGAGGGACGAAAGCUGGGGGAGCGAACCGGAUNANAUACNCNGGGUAGUCCCAGCUGUAANCGAUGCAGGCUAGGUG
rnacentral:rRNA from 1 species